CCUACGGGUGGCAGCAGUGAGGAAUAUUGGUCAAUGGCCGAGAGGCUGAACCAGCCAAGUCGCGUGAGGGAUGACGGCCCUACGGUUUUUAAACCUCUUUUGCCGGGGAGCAACUGGCGCCACGUGUGGCACCACUGCGAGUACCUUAAGAACAAGCAUCGGCUGACUCCCGGCAAGCAGCCGCGGUAAUACGAAGGAUGCGAGCGUUAUCCGGAUUUAUUGGGUUUAAAGGGUGCGUAGGCGGAUAGUUAAGUCAGUGGUCAAAUUGAGGGGAUAAACCCCUUCCCGCCAUUGAAACUGGCGCUCUUGAGUGGAAGAGAGGUAUGCGGAAUGCGUGGUGUAGCGGUGAAAUGCAUAGAGAUCACGCAGAACCCUGAUUGCGAAGGCAGCAUGCCGGCUCCCGACUGACGCUGAAGCACGAAAGCGUGGGGAUCGAACAGGAUUAGAUACCCCAGUAGUC
rnacentral:rRNA from 1 species